rnacentral:lncRNA from 1 species
AUGCUCUGGGGAGCACGCAGCAGAAGUUUAUACAGCAGAGUUAUCUUUUUAUGUGAUCCCACUAAAAGCAUGGAAUAUGGCUCACAAAAUAUCCCUGAAAUUGCCUGGAUACCAGUCUGCAAUCUGCCGCACUCAGGCUCUAAUACUCUUGAGGCAACACUGUGCAAUCUGCUGCCCUCAUCAUGAGACCUGAAGAUGUCUGGACAUUUCUAGAACGUGGGCUUUGUACACCUGCAUUCUCCAGAAUGUCUGAACUGGAGGCAAUACUGCUGGAAAGCGAUGCAGAUGCAUACCAUGUCAGCAUAGAAAGAUGAGGAAAGAUGCAGGAUGCCUAAAAGCAGAAGCAGGAGGAUUUGAGCUGUCUGUGCAGUAUUAGGAAGCUGCUGAGACUCUUCUGCCCAUCAACAAUAAUGGAAUUGGGUUCCACACUGAAGAUAAUUGCUUCAAGUCAUUCUGCAGCCACAGGGAAGGUAAGAUUAAUAAAGAGCAUUUGUUAUAAUUCUGCA